CGGACGGGUGAGUAAUGUCUGGGAAACUGCCCGAUGGAGGGGGAUAACUACUGGAAACGGUAGCUAAUACCGCAUAACGUCGCAAGACCAAAGAGGGGACCUCGGGCCUCUUGCCAUCGGAUGUGCCCAGAUGGGAUUAGCUAGUAGGUGGGGUAACGGCUCACCUAGGCGACGAUCCCUAGCUGGUCUGAGAGGAUGACCAGCCACACUGGAACUGAGACACGGCCAG
rnacentral:rRNA from 1 species